rnacentral:rRNA from 1 species
GGUAUCGACGGGCAAGCUAGGGGGGUAAUAAGUAGGGGGCAGGCGUGAAUCGGAAUAAUGGGGCGUAAAGGGGGAGAAGGCGAGUAUAUAAGAAAGAGGUGAAAUCCCCGGGCUCAACCUGGGAACGGCUGUUGUGACGGUAGAGCUAGAGGACGGCAGAGGGGGAUGGAAUUCCGCGUGUAGCAGUGAAAUGCGUAGAUAGGCGGAGGAACACCGAUGGCGAAGGCAAUCCCCUGGGCCUGUACUGACGCUCAUGCACGAAAGCGUGGGGAGCAAACAGGAUUAGAUACCCUGGUAGUC